rnacentral:rRNA from 1 species
CCUACGGGUGGCAGCAGUGGGGAAUAUUGCACAAUGGGGGGAACCCUGAUCCAGCAACGCCGCGUGGGUGAAGAAGUACUCCGGUAUGUAAAGCCCUGUCAGCCGGGAAGAAAAUGACGGUACCUGACCAAGAAUCCCCGGCUAACUACGUGCCAGCAGCCGCGGUAAUACGUAGGGGGCAAGCGUUAUCCGGAUUUACUGGGUGUAAAGGGAGCGUAGACGGCAAGGCAAGUCUGGAGUGAAAGCCCGGGGCCCAACCACGGGACUGAUUUGGAAACUGUGUGGCUGGAGUGCAGGAGGGGUAAGCGGAAUUCCUAGUGUAGCGGUGAAAUGCGUAGAUAUUAGGAGGAACACCGGUGGCGAAGGCGGCUUACUGGACUGUAACUGACGUUGAGGCUCGAAGGCGUGGGGAGCGAACAGGAUUAGAUACCCCUGUAGUC